AUCUAGCUGACGAUUCCAAAAUAGAACGAAACGUGCGUCCUGGAU
rnacentral:hammerhead_ribozyme from 1 species